rnacentral:misc_RNA from 1 species
AGCAGCCGCGGUAAUUCCAGCUCCAAUAGCGUAUAUUAAAGUUGUUGCAGUUAAAAAGCUCGUAGUUGAAUUUCGGGAUUAAUAUGUUGGUCGUGCCUUGGUACGUACUGGCAUUAUUGAUUCCUACCUUCUGAAGAACCUCGAUGUCAUUAAUUUGGUGUCUUGGGGAAUCAGGACCGUUACUUUGAAAAAAUUAGAGUGUUUAAAGCAGGCUCGCGCUUGAAUACAUUAGCAUGGAAUAAUGAAAUAGGACGUUUGAUUCUAUUUUGUUGGUUUCUAGGAUCGACGUAAUGAUUAAUAGGGAUAGUUGGGGGCAUUAGUAUUCAAUUGUCAGAGGUGAAAUUCUUGGAUUUAUUGAAGACUGACUACUGCGAAAGCAUUUGCCAAGGAUGUUUUCAUUAAUCAAGAACGAAAGUUAGGGGAUCGAAGACGAUCAGAUACCGUCGUAGUCUUAACCAUAAACUAUGCCACUAGGGAUCGGAUGAUGUUAAUUUUUAAUGACUCAUUC